rnacentral:rRNA from 1 species
GACGAACGCUGGCGGCGUGCUUAACACAUGCAAGUCGAACGGAAAGGCCCUGCUUUUGUGGGGUGCUCGAGUGGCGAACGGGUGAGUAACACGUGAGUAACCUGCCCUUGACUUUGGGAUAACUUCAGGAAACUGGGGCUAAUACCGGAUAGGAGCUCCUGCUGCAUGGUGGGGGUUGGAAAGUUUCGGCGGGUGGGGAUGGACUCGCGGCUUAUCAGCUUGUUGGUGGGGGAGUGGCUUACCAAGGCUUUGACGGGUAGCCGGCCUGAGAGGGUGACCGGCCACAUUGGGCCUGAGAUACGGCCCAGACUCCUACGGGAGGCAGCAGUGGGGAAUAUUGCACAAUGGGCGGAAGCCUGAUGCAGCAACGCCGCGUGCGGGAUGACGGCCUUCGGGUUGUAAACCGCUUUCGCCUGUGACGAAGCGUGAGUGACGGUAAUGGGUAAAGAAGCACCGGCUAACUACGUG